rnacentral:rRNA from 1 species
CCCCCCCUAACCCUUUAACGUAUCUAGAGUUUGAUCCUGGCUCAGGAUGAACGCUAGCGGCAGGCUUAAUACAUGCAAGUCGUGGGGCAGCAUGAAUGUAGCAAUACAUUUGAUGGCGACCGGCAAACGGGUGCGGAACACGUACACAACCCUCCUACAAGUGGGGAAUAGCCCAGAGAAAUUUGGAUUAAUACCCCGUAACAUAUAGAUGUGGCAUCACAUUUAUAUUAUAGCUUCGGCGCUUGUUGAUGGGUGUGCGGCUGAUUAGGUAGUUGGCGGGGUAACGGCCCACCAAGCCUACGAUCAGUAGCUGAUGUGAGAGCAUGAUCAGCCACACGGGCACUGAGACACGGGCCCGACUCCUACGGGAGGCAGCAGUAAGGAAUAUUGGACAAUGGGCGAAAGCCUGAUCCAGCCAUGCCGCGUGAAGGAUUAAGGUCCUCUGGAUUGUAAACUUCUUUUAUUGGGGACGAAAAAAGGGCAUUCUUGCUCACUUGACGGUACCCAAUGAAUAAGCACCGGCUAACUCCGUGCCAGCAGCCGCGGUAAUACGGAGGGUGCAAGCGUUAUCCGGAUUCACUGGGUUUAAAGGGUGCGUAGGUGGCAGGUAAGUCAGUGGUGAAAUCCUGGAGCUUAACUCCAGAACUGCCAUUGAUACUAUCUGUCUUGAAUAUUGUGGAGGUAAGCGGAAUAUGUCAUGUAGCGGUGAAAUGCUUAGAUAUGACAUAGAACACCUAUUGCGAAGGCAGCUUACUGCGCAUAUAUUGACACUGAGGCACGAAAGCGUGGGGAUCAAACAGGAUUAGAUACCCUGGUAGUCCACGCCCUAAACGAUGGAUACUCGACAUACGCGAUACACAGUGUGUGUUCUGAGCGAAAGCAUUAAGGUUAUCCCACCUGGGAAGUACGACUGCCAAGUUGAAACUCAAGGAAUUGGCGGGGGUCGCACAAGCGGUGGAGCAUGUGGUUUAAUUCGAUGAUACGCGAGGGAACCUACCUGGGCUAAUUGGCAUUUGGAACG